UACGUAGGGGGCAAGCGUUGUUCGGAAUUACUGGGCGUAAAGGGCGCGUAGGCGGUACGACAAGUCUGGAGUGAAAGCCCGGGGCUCAACCCCGGAAUGUCUUUGGAAACUGUCGAACUUGAGUGCGGAAGAGGCAUCUGGAAUUCCCAGUGUAGCGGUGAAUGCGUAGAUAUUGGGAAGAACACCUGAGGCGAAGGCGGGAUGCUGGGCCGACGACUGACGCUGAGGCGCGAAAGCCAGGGAGCG
rnacentral:rRNA from 1 species